GCUUCAAAUGCAAACUGUUAAGACUCUGGAGGCUAACUACUGCAAGGAAGAACCCCUCCCCUCCCCCCCCCCCCCAAAUGUCAGGGGCUGGAAGAAAAGGAUCGAUUGUCUGGCCAACAGGAGAUCUAUUUUGGUGUUAUAAUUUGGAGAAGUAGUCUGAAUGCCAGUGCUGAAUCUUCUACGCUCUGAUGGGGACAUCCUUGAAUUCCAGUGAUCUGCGUGACACAGGUCAAGAUCUUAGCAUUAUUAUAUUGCGUGAUUCAUUCUUUCUUAAUCGACGGUGAUGCUGGUGGAGUACCUCAGCAUCCCAUUCAGAAGCUGAAUUAAUGCAAAGCCACAAAACUACAAAUUUCACGACAUCUAUGAUAAUAAACCUGAUUCACUUGCCAGAGGAGGCCAUGACUGAAGGUGGCAACAUCAAACUGUGGUCCCAAUUUAUCAAUGUGGUCUUCCUUCAUUUAUCCAGAGGAUGCUGGUGGUGGAAGGUCACGUCCGCAGAGUUCUUCAGCGCCUUCUGGAGAACCAGCUCUUUGUGAUGGCUGAGAAGUGUGAGUUUCAUUGCAAUACAGUCUCCUUCCUGGGGUAUGUGAUUUCAGGCAGUUCCAUUCAGAUGGACCAACCGAAGGUCAAGGCGGUGGUCGAAUGGCCCCAACCCUCCACUCGUUGGGAAUUACAAUGCUUCUGAUUCUUCUGAUACAGGGUUCGGAGUAGAGCAGGACUGGGGACAGGAGCACAUGGCAAUACAAACCCUCAGACUGACAGCUAGUGGGAAACGUACAAAAAGACAGAAUUCAGCCUGAGAUAUCUCUGAAUAAUGUGCAUUUUAGGAGAGGCAGCAUGAUGGUACAGAAAAACACAAAAUACUGGAGGAACUCAACAGGUCAGGGAGCAUGUAUACAAAGAAAUGAGCAGUCAAUGUUUUGGGCCGAGAUCCUUCAUCACAGAGGGUGGUGGAUGCGUAGAAAACCCUGCCAGGGAGGUGGUAGAGGCAGAUAAGCACAUGGAUGAUUGGUACCACACCACCACCUUCAGGAACAGUUAUUACCCCUCAACCAUCCGGCUCCUGAACCAGCAUGGAUAUCUUCACUCGGUCCAACACUGAGGCGUCAACUGAUUCCACAAGCUAUGGACUUAUUUUCAGGGACUAUAACUCCCAUUCUCAAUGUUAUUUAUUACUUAUUAGUAUUAUUAUUAUUAUUCAUUAUCAUUACUUUGUUUUUCAUUUAUAUUUACACAAUUUAAUAUAUCCUGCAUAUUGUUUGUAGUUUUUCAUUGAUUCUGUUGUUUCUUUAUAUUUACUGCGAAUGACCACAAGAAAAUAAUUUCAGGGUAGUAUAUGGUCUCUCUCAUGCACACACACACAGACACACUUAUAUAUACAUACUGUACUGUGAUAAUAAGUUUACUUUGAACUUUGACAAAUGGAGGGUCAUGUGGGAGGAAGGGUUAGAUUGAUUUUAGAGUAGGUUAAAAGUGCAGAACAACAUUGUGCUGUAUGUUCUAUAUCUGAGUGGUUCACACUAAAGUGAACACAGGUACUUUUGUUCUGAGAUGCCCUGGCUGCAGAAUAGAUGCUCCUUCCAACUAAUGUGCUUACAUUUGCUGCGGCCUGAACAGAUUCAAAUACUGAGAGCAGGAGAUACUAAACAGAUCCACACAACUUCUUCAACGAGAUAAUGGCUUUUAUAUAUAAGACUCAAGCCAAAGAGCAUGCCUCCCACACGAUAUCCAAACCUAGGCUUGCAUUAAGAAGCUACACCUUCCAACAAAGUAACACAUCUAGAGGAGGAAUAAAUACCUCAUGAGCUUUAUCUCAGCAAAUGAGCAGCAAAUUCCCUCAAUUGCUCCAUAAGUCCAAAGAUAUGUUCUUUCUGCUUAAUUGUCGUAUAUAGUAACAUAACCCAUCCAAAAAUGAAUUAUGCAUAUGUUCAGCCUAUUCUGUUAAUUAGGAAUUUCUACAUUCCAAUUUUCUUCUUGGCACAUCAAUAUUAUUUAUGUAAUUGCAAUAUCAUUUGAUAUAAGCAACUAAUGCAACAAAGUGACUGAUUGAUUGGAAUUUCCAUAGCUACUGAUGAUCAGAGCGCAUAAACACGAGGGUUUGCGGAUGUUGAAAAUCCAGAGUAAGAAGCACAAAAUGCUGGAGGAACUCAGCAGGUUAGGCAGCAUCUAUGGACAGAAAUCAACAGACAACAUUUCGGGCCGAGAUCCUUCAGCAGGACUGGAAAGGAAGGGGAAGAAUUCAGAAUAAGAAAAUGGGGGAAGGAAAAGUACAAGCUGAAUUCUUCCAGCAUUUUGUGCAAAUUGCUCUGGAUUUCCAGCAUCCCAGAAUCAGAAUUAGAACCUGCUUCAAGUUUAUCACUGACACAUGUCGUGAAAUUUGUUGUUUUGUGGCAACAAUAAAGUGCAAUACAUAGAAAAUACUAUACAUUAUAAUAAAUAUAAAAGUUUAA